GGGGGUGACCUGGUUUCGACAGAGCAGAGUGACCGACGGGAAGCAAGCCGAGGUCUCCUCGCCUCGUAAAACAGGGGUACACGCCUUGUAAUCGGCAACUAUGAUUACGCCCUCGCCGCUUAAACAAUAACCGGCGACGUCAACGAUCGGGUAGGCUCCGCCCGUUCCGCGACGCCAUUCAGGAGCCUGCGGUUGCGGUGGUGGGCUGUAUUGCCGCCGCCCAAGAUGAAACAGCCAUGGGGAAUCGACGCGGGUCGUCAGGCCGACCAUUCCCCGAGACGUGAUUGACGACUGAGCUUGGAGAAGCCGGCGGCGCUUUGUUUUGGACGCGGGUUCGAUUCCCGCCACCUCCACCA
rnacentral:tmRNA from 1 species